ACGUAGGGGGCAAGCGUUAUCCGGAAUUAUUGGGCGUAAAGAGUGCGUAGGUGGUUUUUUAAGCGUGAGGUGAAAGGCAAUAGCUUAACUAUUGUAAGCCUUGCGAACUGGAAGACUUGAGUGCAGGAGAGGAAAGUGGAAUUCCUAGUGUAGCGGUGAGAUGGGUAGAAAUUGGGAGGAACGCCAGUGGGGAGGGCGACUUUCUGGGAUGUAACUGACACUGAGGCACGAAAGCGUGGGAAGCAAAGAG
rnacentral:rRNA from 1 species